ensembl:snRNA U6 U6 spliceosomal RNA
GGUGAGUAAGAAAUUUAAUGACACAGAGAAUAUUAGCAUGGAUCCUGUGCAAGGAUGGCAUACAAAUUCACGAAGCAUUCCAUAUUUAA